rnacentral:lncRNA from 1 species
UUAUACCAUAAUUCAUCUAAUGAUAAAAAAAGAAGAACAAUAGCAUACCAGAAACAUUUUACUUGAGAAAUGUUCCUUUACUAACCACUCCCAAUCCUCUCGAUCAAUAUCUUCAGGAAUAUUUCUUAAAGUCUCUUGCAUAGUACUGCAGGAUUUUACAUAUUUGCGAUGCAAAUCUCCUCUCCAUUUGUUCCACAAAUCAUUCAUAUGAGUUAGGAUAUCUUCACGAAACUCCUCCAUUGUUGUAUUCUCAAAUUUAUCCUUCAAGUUCAAAUCAUAUUUAUAUAUAUUUGUAAAACUUAUAAUUGUAAGUCCAAACUUAUACAUGUGGUGGAAUAAUUUAACGAUUAACUCAAAUUGAUAUUAAAUUAAAUAAUUUUACCGUCACCGUAACCCACAUAUAUUCCUUUUCUUCAUCUCCAAUCUCCUUCCAUGAGUGCACACGAAGUGGACAAAUAUUGCGAUCGCGCACGAUUCUUCCUAAGUGUCUCGAAAAUACCCUAUGAUUCUUUCCAACAACGCGCUUAUUGUAGAAUUUCACGCCCAAUUUUUUUCCACUUUUCAACUUUGCGACUUCCUUACACUUGUUUUUACCUCGCACAUUC